ensembl:lncRNA
AUGUGGCUGAUCCCUGCCUCAGCUCGCAGAAUUCCCCUCGUGGCUGGAAGAUUUGUUCCUUCUCACAGACACUUGCUCCUAACUGGAAAAAGAUUACCAGGGAAUGAAGCUGAAGCACAACUGCAGGAGGAUGGCAUUGUGAAUAUUGCCACUGGAAGAAAAGGAGGUGCUUUCCCCAAGCAAUUAUAUACUGAUGGUAUGUCGCCUUAUUGUUGUUCCAUUUCUGAUAACAGGCUAAAUGGAUGUGAGGUUCAGAGGAAAGGUAUCAUGUUGAGAUGAAAGAGUCAGCCUGGGAGCUGCAAAAGCAUUUAAGUGCAAUUUGAAAAAUAAGAUUUAUUCCACAUGUUAGACCUCUUUUGCAGUUUCUAUUCUUCAUCCCUUCCAUGAUUCUCAUGCAAUUAGAUUCAAAAAAUUACAGAUUGGGUAUACUAAUUUUGCACUUUAGGGGGCUCAACGUAGGCAAACAGUCAUUAAAAGCCCAAACUCGCUGGGCUCAAAGAUUAAUUUGAAUGUGAAUGAAAUGUGUUUGCAUGAAUGUCUGUGAUUUCCAUUGAGAUAUUUCUUCAGAAGUAGUACAUAAUGAAUUAGACAUUAUUUUUCUCUAUACCCAUGUCAUUUUAUUGAAAUCCACAUAUUUGUUUAGUGAUUUCUCUGUGUAUCUUGCUAUUCCAUUCAAAAUUGCAUUCAAGGUAGAUAGCAGCAGUAAAACACAGAAAAGUAGAAAAUGAAAAUAAGGUAAUUAAAAACACAGCGAUAAUAGAGAAAUAAAAAACACUCCCCAAUUAAACAGCCUUUAGCACAUAUAUCAACCUUAAAGCCUGAAUCAUGGUAGAAUACAAACAUAUUUAAUUGAUGAUGAAUGGGUGAUAAAAAAAAACCCAGCUGAUCCAACUUUCCUUGAUGAAGAGUUCAAGAUCCAGACAGCAAUCACUAAGAAGCACACACACACUUUUUUUCUUGACAAAUGUGCUUCUGAUGGUCUCAGACAAAAAAAAAAAAAAGGAAAAAAGAGGAUACACAGCAACUGAUUCAAAAUGCAGGAAAAGAGAUUUCAUCUAAAUAAUAGGUUUGUGCAUUUUGAAUGAAUCAUUAUCCAUUUCAGCUUGCUGGAUAUCGGAAGCCCCCCAUAUUCGUUUUCACUCAUCUUCCAAAAACGGGCACAUUGCUGAAUAGUCGGUUUUGUUCUGCAACUAAAAAAAGGAACUCUUUUUGGUCCGUUUGCAACAAUGGGCAACAUUUGAGGCUCCUCUUUCCCCUGGGAGCUUUUCCUUUCUUCCCUUCAGAGGAACCUGGGUGUCAGCAACGGGAUUAAGAAAAUACCCCAUACAACCCAUUAUGGAAGGGGGGGGGGAACUUCCCACAGGCUCCCCUUCCAUAUCCUUCAUUAAGACCUGGAUUUAAAAAAGCAUCAGAUUAAAGAUAAAGAUACCACUCUUUCUGGAACCUUUCCCUUCUGUUUGUAGAAGGAAGAGACUGGGUUUAAUGCUUCUUAAAGCUGUUUUUACUCUAGAGAGGCAGACACAUGCGCUUUCUCUUCUAGCAGCAGCAGCAUGCCACACAGCUUUCCAAGGCAUUUUAAGGCGGCCCAGGGAAGGAAGAGCAAUGUUCAGUAGAGCUAUCCUCCCUGCGCUGCCUUAAAAAUCCCCUCUCUUGCCUGA